GUUUUUGGGCUGCGGGGUGGGCUCUCGUUGUAAGCCUGUAGUUGACCCGUCUCGCUGCGUUGGUUCAUUGCUAGGUACCAUGUCGCUUGUCUGUUCGUUCGCGUGCAGGUGCCAUCCUUUCUUUUGCCGCUGGGGUUGCCUCCUCUUCUUUUCUCUUUCUGCCUGUCCUGGGCGAGGUGGGUGGCGGUGCUGAUUCUUUCGGAGGCGUGGCGGCGCUGCUUCUUUCUAGAGCAUGGCAGCGUGCGUCUUUGUGGUCAACGAGGUGUGGUUUUCGGCUGUGGCUUUGGUGGCUUUGUCGGGGUCUUUGGUGCUUGCUUCUUCGUCGGAGUCGGGUCCGGAUCUGUUGUUGGCAUUUUCUUCUUCCUCUACAUCAGAUCUUCUUUCUCUGGCGGCGCUUGUGGGAGAGAAGGAGAGGGGCAGCAGACAUUCCUGCCGUGUUUCGUUGUCGGUGUGGCCGCGGGGGAGGGUUGCCCUGUCGUUUCGUCAGCUGAUAGGAGCGUGUUGCCAUGCCUCUGGAUGGCCGCAUGCCGGAUCCACGCCGGCCGUAUCGGCUUCUUCUGCUCCACAGCAGACAAGGUAAUAUGAAAUGAAGAAGAAUAUGGCCACAUAGUGCAAAUGAUGCGUAUGUGAAGAUAUGAAGAAAUCUAUCUGAAGGAUUAUGUUGUUCAAGUGAAAUGAGAGAAAUACUAUGGAGAUGCGGUCGGGGAGCUUCUACUUUGUCUCAUCUCAAUGAUGUCCUGCUUUUUUGUUUCACCUUUAUUCUAUUAAUUUCCUACAAUUUGACGCAUCCGAUAUUAAACAUGUGCAUGUAAGAUUCUAUCCAUUGUUCUACACCUGUGCACCUGGGACAUGUUUCUUGCAGUAAAACUUUAGCUUACUUGCCAUGUGUUGUACCAUUGAAGACUGCCACUAUUUUACUCGGUUAUGCUUUCAGAUAGCAGUAUGGCUUUCUAUUUACCACAUUUUUUCA